CAGACGGACGGACGGACGGACGCACAACGUAGGCCAAGUGGUGUUUUGCUCUUCUCCAGGGCCCUUCAGGCAGGGAUCUCGAGCCAGUAAAGCUGCCGCAUAAGCCGCAUACUUAACUGCUCUGCUGGAUGAGGCCAGGCUGCUCAGAAGCUGGCAGGAUCAAGGCUCCGUGUCCUGUUUCCCCAGCUGAUGACAGUGCCUGCAGCUCUGGCCCAUAAAACCUGAGCUCAGUGCAGGUCUUUGGUAGGAUGGGGGUGGGUUAAAGAGGUCCCUGCAGUACGCUAGUUCUUGCACGGUUCUUAGGGAGGAUUUCUCUUUGGCGUAAUUUAUUUUGAGGGAGUGUUUCAAGAUGGGCUGGGGGGGGGGAACUCAGAUGAAAUCCCAUAUUCUGACCAUAGAUUUUUUGCCUGAACAAGUACAAUGAGAGCUUAUUGCAGAUGGAGACCGUGGGAGGUGAUGCCAGGAGAAAACUCCCACCCUAAAAUCUGCAUAAAGCUAAUAAUAUCUUUUUUCUUUGACUAGCCACCUCCUCCUCCACUUCCCUGCUGGUCACAGACACCCUGGCUCAGAGCAUCACACCCGUACACCAAUGCACACAAACAAAACCUGUGUGUUUUAUGCACCGACUCACCAACUGGUGAAACUUGAAGCAGGACAGCUGAAAUAAAACAUUCAAUAUUAGCCCGUUAAAAAUCCAGGAGGGUCUUUCUGUAAAUCAACUGUCUCCUGGUUUGCCCCAAAUAGCGCAGUGUCCUUCUCAUACUGUGCCUAUCCUUGUGACGUCCCAGAAGCCACACAGCAACUCGCCUGGCUAGUAUUUAGAUGGGAGUCCUCCAAGAGCUUCGGGUUGUUGAGAAACAAGUAUUGGAGGUUCGGGUGUACAGCUGCAAGAGGUCUAUGUGAUGGCUCUGGGCAGGGUGACGUGCAGGCAGAAGACACCCCGCACAAGGCAGGUAUGGAGAAACUUGAUGAAAACAAAAGUCUUUUUGGGUCUGUCAGAACUGAAAAUGUUGCAGCUGAAAGUGGCAGGGGAACAGAAACAAUUUCUGCCUUUACCUUUUUCUCCUGUGGAUGGAUGUGUAUGCGACCAUGGGACUGUGAUGGCCCAUCUGUGAGCUCCCUUUGCACGUCAGCCUGAGCUGCAGCGUUUUCUCUUCCUGGCUUAACUCCCCCAGCCCUGGCUGCCUGCCCAUCACUGGCUGGCUGUGGGCAGGUUUGAGCAUCCUCUGCAAAAUCCUUUGGACCUUCAGCUUCCAGAGAUGUCAGUAGCAUCUGAUGACGGCAAGCACGUUGUGGGAAUACCUGGGCAUCAUGCAGCAUCUGUCCCUCAAUAAAACUACUUUCAUCUUGGCAGGGAAGUCUGGAUUAUGCAACACAUCUUGGCUUCUUAAUCAUGAUUUUCCAGCCUUGCUUCCCACCCACUGUGCCUGGGAUUACACCUGUCUUAGUGUGCAUGUUCUGCAUUGCUAUGUUCCAGCUUGGAUACACUCCCUUAAAAACAAUUACUUCAUGUGGCAGGUCUAGUUAACACCCCUUUGCAGCUCUCGAGCUGCCUCUGACCCUGCAGAUGCUAAGUGUUAGCAGUUGUGCUCUAGUUGCUGUAAUUCUCAUUACCUCAGUGCAGACAAGACCUGUUUGCAUCUUGAAAGCUUGAAAAUCUUUUAGGGGGAUCAGCUAUGGAGGGUUUGAUGAUGGUGGUAGUUGGUUUAUUUCUUCCCAACGAUGCUGAGUGCCAGUAUCUGCCAAUUGCUUCAUCGCAGCUAUGUGAGAUGGGCACCCGUGGAAGCUCGGCCAACUUUUUGCCCUUUACCACCCCACUGAAGUCAUCGCCAAAUAUAAAGCCAGGCUCUUGUGGAUUUUCUUCUCGGUUUCAGAUGUGAAGGUGACCAGCUGUUGAUUGAGUGUUGCAGAGAUCUUUGGAGAACAGUAUGCAUUCGUCGUGGAGAUGAAGGGCUAAAUUCAGACCAUUUGUGUUCUUGGCAUGAUGCUCGUCCUCAUCGGCUCUGUGUUUGCUUUAGAAGUCUGAGUAGCUGACAUGCCCCGUCCGCCAGCUAAUGCCGAUUAAUUCUGACUCUCUUCAGGCUUCAAGAAAACAGAUUGUGGAGGGGUUUUCAUCACACGGGGAAUUAAAGAAGCUAGCAAAGUAUCUUAACCCGAACCACAUCACCCAUUGCUUUCAGUCAAGGAGGAGGACAGAUGAGAUUAACCUCGAAACCCCCUCGGCUUCCUUGUGGGGACUGUAAACCACAGUGCCAAGUGAGAGAAGAAUGCAGGAAGAGGAUGAUUUUUACGUGGACAUGUAAAGAACUGGACGUAGACCACCGAACCCUUCCCACAUUGGCCACUGAACAGUCAUCAGAGGGUGUUGACUUUUGACCACUACUGUUUUUGUUAACAGGGAAAAUAAAACCAUAUGUUGCUUAAGUAGA